AUUGAACGCUGGCGGCAGGCCUAACACAUGCAAGUCGAGCGGAUGAGUGGAGCUUGCUCCAUGAUUCAGCGGCGGACGGGUGAGUAAUGCCUAGGAAUCUGCCUGGUAGUGGGGGACAACGUUUCGAAAGGAACGCUAAUACCGCAUACGUCCUACGGGAGAAAGCAGGGGACCUUCGGGCCUUGCGCUAUCAGAUGAGCCUAGGUCGGAUUAGCUAGUAGGUGAGGUAAUGGCUCACCUAGGCGACGAUCCGUAACUGGUCUGUGAGGAUGAUCAGUCACACUGGAACUGAGACACGGUCCAGACUCCUACGGGAGGCAGCAGUGGGGAAUAUUGGACAAUGGGCGAAAGCCUGAUCCAGCCAUGCCGCGUGUGUGAAGAAGGUCUUCGGAUUGUAAAGCACUUUAAGUUGGGAGGAAGGGCAGUAAGUUAAUACCUUGCUGUUUUGACGUUACCAACAGAAUAAGCACCGGCUAACUUCGUGCCAGCCGCCGCCGUAAGAC
rnacentral:rRNA from 1 species